CAAAAGCGCAUAAAUUGUUCGAUAUCAUGUACCAAAUAUCUAAACGACAUAUUGCGAAACAAAUAUUUAUCGCAAGAACAAAAUUAGGCGGAAGAAAAAAAAAAUAAUCUGAAGAAAAACAGUAGGUCUCUCCACAGAAAAGUGGAUAGUCCAAAUAAUCAGAAGAAAAACAAUAGGUCUUUCCACAAAAAAGUGGAAAGACCUAAUAAU
rnacentral:lncRNA from 1 species